AUUAACACUCUUAUUUAUGAUGUCAGUGAUCACCCAAGUCUCUUGCCAUGGGCUGCCAAGGCUAUGGAAGCCUUUUGUGACCAUAGAUUCCAUCAGUAUUUGGACAUGACCAUAACCAAAGUGGAUAUUCUCUCCCCACUUCAGAGAAAAGUACCACCUUCUUUGAUGGUCCUUUCUUUCCACUGAGGUCUCACAGAGAUCCUUCGUGUACAAUAUUUUGCCACAGAGUCUUGGCUUUCCAUGCCUGAAAUGCUCUCACAGGCCUUUCAGCCAGACCAGAAAACCUUAAGAGUUGAUUCUGAGGAAAGUCACCAACUUACAACACGGAUAGAAGAGAAGAGAAUGACAGCACGGGAUUGUAGGUAGCGGAAGUAAAGAUCACCGACUUUUACUGUGCCUGUGUUCCUGGAAAGACUUCAGUAGGAGAAAGAUGAAAAAGCAUGACCCACAGGGCUCCUGGAAGAAAGAGAUGCAUGGUUCUGUCUGCUCAUUUAAAUACUUAACAAGCCACAGGGAAAAAAGAAGGCAUCCCGUUCUACUGCCCAUAACAUAUGUCAGUAAGUCAUAAAAAUAAAUCAUACUGUGGAUGGCUUGUGAACAUUGCUCAGCCUCCUGUGAGACAUUAGCGCUUGUUCUUCAGCCAAAAAGGCAAACAAUCCAACUGUCUAUCUAAUAUUUGUUCUUCCCUUGUCAAGAGAAACAGUUCCCAGAAAACAGUGAGGAUAAUCAGUUAAUUCUUGCCCUGCAUUUAUGGCAAAAUUAUAAUGUCUUCUCCAAGUAAUAAUUUUGUUAUCUUACACAAUUUUUGAAUUAACAAAGAAUAUUUUAGUAUAUUUAGGCUCAGCAAAAC